UUAGAUACCCCACUAUGCCUAGCCCUAAACAAAGAUACAUCACUACAAAACUAUCCGCCAGAGUACUACAAGCGAAAAGCUAGAAACUCAAAGGACUUGGCGGUGCUUCAAACCAACCUAGAGGAGCCUGUCCUAUAAUCGAUACUCCACGUUAAACCUUACCCCCCUUAGCCAACCAGCCUAUAUACCGCCGUCGAAAGUCUACCUUAUGAAAGAAACAAAGUAGACCAAACAGUCUAUAACUAACACGUCAGGUCAAGGUGUAGCAUAUGGGGGGGCAGAGAUGGGCUACAUUUUCUAAACGAACACACGAAUAACCUGUUGAAAAACAUGUUUAAAGGUGGAUUUAGUAGUAAAACAAAUAAGAAAGACAUCUUGAAAACUGCUCUGAAGCGCGCACACACCGCCC
rnacentral:rRNA from 1 species